rnacentral:rRNA from 1 species
GAAUAUUGCACAAUGGGGGAAACCCUGAUGCAGCCAUGCCGCGUGUGUGAAGAAGGCCUUCGGGUUGUAAUGCACUUUCAGCGAGGAGGAAAGGUUGGCAGCUAAUAACUGCCAACUGUGACGUUACUCGCCGAAGAAGCACCGGCUAACUCCGUGCCAGCAGCCGCGGUAAUACGGAGGGUGCAAGCGUUAAUCGGAAUUACUGGGCGUAAAGCGCACGCAGGCGGUUGGAUAAGUUAGAUGUGAAAGCCCCGGGCUCAACAUGGGAAUUUCAUUUAAAACUGUCCAGCUAGAGUCUUGUAGAGGGGUGUAGAAUUCCAGGUGUAGCGGUGAAAUGCGUAGAGAUCUGGAGGAAUACCGGUGGCGAAGGCGGCCCCCUGGACAAAGACUGACGCUCAGGUGCGAAAGCGUGGGGAGCAAACAGG